rnacentral:lncRNA from 1 species
UUCCUCUUCGUCCUCCUCCUCCCGCUCGCUCCCAUAAGCAUUGCCCUCCUCGUCCGUGCGACUACGGGGAGCCCACGUCAUCUUGUUCUCCUUCUUGAGGCGCCGGCGCGCGUUGGCGAACCAGAAGGGAAAGAAAAACAAAAUGCAGCACCACACAACAACAACACACAACAACACCACACAAGAGCCUCUGAGAUGCUCCUUCCUUCCUUACUGCAUUAACCAGCUAUCGACCUGGUUGUGUCCGAUUGCGAUGACGGACUGAGAGAAAGAACACCGGAAGAGCCAGGCUGUUCUCAGGAAGGACUCACGCCGGCCAGGGGGCCGCCCCUGGCCCAGAGGGUGAACCUCUAGACCCAGGCACAGUGCACAAAGCGCUCGCCACGGACGCUCUGUGGUCUGGGCUCAGGGUGCCAGGAGCAUACAGAAAAGGUGUACGCCGAAGACACGUGGCGCACGAAGCUGUGCGCGCUGGAGGACAACUACAAGCGGUGCCCGAUGUGUAGCCAGAGGCCCACCAGCUUCGGGGUCGGACACUCCGAACCACCAGCCCCCAUCUCUUCUCCCCCCCCCCCCGGUCUAGCUCCCCGAUGUGCCUGUGUCCCCCAUCGUUGGGAGCUUCUGCAGCCUUGUGUCUCCCAGCUCGGACAGAGUUCAAUCCUUUCCUCCCAAGGCUCAGAGUCCCCCAGAGGCGGUGCGGGCUGGCUAUCCUUCAGCUUCCUGCAGAGGCUGCUGCCUACGCUCCCCCCACCCCCAGCUGGGGUUACAGCAGCCACACGGACUUGCAGAUGCAUGGCCUGGCGUAGCACCGGGAGGAAUUCACAUUUGACUGUGAAUCCGGCCUCGGAGCAUCCCAGGAGGCGCGGGCCGGGCGCCGGCACGUCUGCCGUGCAACGCUGGCUGAGCCCUGUAAGCCGUCAGGGCCCGGGAGGCUGUCCCUGUUCCAGAGGCGCUACGGGAAACUUUGAGGCAAACUUUGCAAACUUCUUUCUCGGAGUUAAAGAGAGGCCGCCGGUCAGAAAGGCUGCAGCGGCAGCAGCGUGGGCCCCAGGCCGGAUUUGUACACCGCCGAACUGGCCCUGCGGCCCCACAAGGAGCGCGAGGCUCUCCAGCGUGCCCAUCCGUGCCUGCACCUCCCGGACCAGGGCCCCUGCCACUGGCCAGCUCUACACGACUCCCGGAAUCUCAGCAUGGAAGGAAAACCGUGGCCCUGUGCACCAGUGGUUUUAUUUCUCUUUCUCUCUGCAAAAACAUCCAGUUUCCACCUGCGCCGAGCUUUUUCGCUGAUCUUUUUUUUUUUUUUUUUCGUCCUGUCUAUUUCUCACACUUUCUGUAUGUUUGCUUUCCGGGGAUGUAUUUUUCUUUUUCUUUGAGUCCAAGUGUGUUGUUUGAUCCUUUUAUUUUUAUUUUCCUGGACCGUUUUCUUAAAGUUCAUUCUUUUUUGCCUCUCCCUUCUGUGUCUCUGCCCCCCCACCCUUCCCCGGUUUCAUCUUCUUCCUUUUCUCGCUCCCUCUCUUACCCCAUCUGCCCUAUUUCAAUCUUGAUCUACCCCAGGCUCUCCUUUUCUGGUUUCUUCUCUUUUCCUUUCCUCUACAGUCUGUCCCCUCCCCCGCCCGUGGAUCUGCUUCUCCCUCAUCCCCUCCCUCCUCAUCCAUCUUGGGAGAUGAAUAUGUCGCCUUAUUGGAUGCGGAGGCCAAAGCAGGGCAAUGGGGCUCGGCCAACGCCGCACAUUUUCUUCAUGCAUAUUGAGAAUAUGGUAAUGAGCGCGUUUGCAUUGUUGCAUGGAAAUGAUGCGACUCCCUCUGCGGUGCGGAGUGGGCAAGGUUGGUGUGGACCCAAGAGAGCUCGGUAGUGGGGACCGGGCCUAGUGGCCCUAGUGACCCACCGGGGGACAAGGACAUGACCUCUAGGAGCGCCCUGCCCUCCCUCCGCCUGUUCUGGCUCCCAGAAAGGCGUUGCUACCCGGGUUAAACCUUGGAGAAGGGAAGCCAGCCUUGCUCAGCCGCCCCGGCUGGGCUGUCGCGUCCCUGGUCCCGGCCUGAAACCCUUCUCCGCUGUUUAGAGUUCUGGAAAGGAGAGUCUGUGUUCUCUAAUGGCUACACGUUGUUUGCAGUUCGAGUGAUCCUUUAGGAUGAAACACAGCCCUGCGCCAUGCGCGUCUCCACCAGGCGGGCGGGUGGACAUCGUUUGCCCUGCCAGAUUGAAGUCUGGCCAGUUGGUCCUCAGCGGCGAUAAGGUUGAACCCCCCUCCCCCCAGUUAUCCAACAGAAGCAGCUCUUCCCCGAGGCCAGCCAAGUUCAGGUGAAGGGACCCAGGGCCUGCAGAAGGGUGAAAUUCUGUUGAAGCAGGCCAGGCUCUGCCUGGGACUGGGAAGGAAGCCAUGUUACACUUGCUGGGAGCUCAGAGCCCCAGAACCCAUAUUUAGCAGUCAAACCUCACCACAGCUCACCUCAGGACAUUUUCCUGCCUCCUUCUCCCCCAUUUCCUACUAGGGAAGGGAAGUCCCUAGCAGGGGCUCCAGGGCCGAAAUGCAUUGUGGAAAGGCAGCGCUGAAUAGGGUCAGGUUUCCCAACCUUCCAGCAUUCUGCCUUGGCUAAGGACUGAAGAGUUUCGCUUCAACUGAGUCCUUUUCAAAACUCAAGUGCCUCGUUCUGGGAAAGCAUUUGAUCCCUUGUCCCCUACUUCGGCAAACUGGAAAGUAGCUGUUAGCAGAAAGGGAACAUAGCUACGAGCAAACCAUGCUCCUAAGCCUUGCACCUUCCCACUUGGGGUUCAAGCCCUUCCUGUGUUAUUAACAAAGCGGCUUUGGGUGUGUGAGUAGUGACUCUUGGAAGACGAGAGCUUAAAAACGAAUGUUUCUUUCUUGGUCCUCUUAUGACUUAAAAUGAUGUCAGGGGUCUCAAGGGCUGUCCUGGCUUGCAGCUUGGUGGUGGUGUUUUCUGCUAAAACCAGUGUGAAAAAUUUAAGGCAAAAACCAACGUGCUGAAUUAUUACUGGCAAAUAAGCUCAUUUAAACGUUUUUCAGG